GACGAACGCUGGCGGCGUGCCUAAUACAUGCAAGUAGGACGCAGUUGCGAACGGGUGAGUAACGCGUAGGUAACUACCUAUUAGAGGGGGAUAACAAUUGGAAACGAUAGCUAAUACCGCAUACUAGUAGAUGGACCUGCGUUGUAUUGGCUAGUAGGUAGGGUAAUGGCCUACCUAGGCAACGAUACAUAGCCGGCCUGGUGGGGUGAGCGGCCACACUUGGACUGGGACCCGGCCCAGACUCCUACGGGAGGCAGCAGUAGGGAAUCUUCGGCAAAGGGGGGAACCCUGACCGAGCAACGCCGGGUGGGUGAAGAAGGUUUUCCGAUCGUAAAGCUCUGUUGUUAAGGAAGCGGUACUUAACCAGAAAGGGACGGCUAACUACGUGCCAGCAGCCGCGGUAAUAC
rnacentral:rRNA from 1 species